rnacentral:rRNA from 1 species
GAGUUUGAUCGUGGCUCAGGAUGAACGCCGGCGGUGUGCCUAAUACAUGCAAGUCGUACGCACUGGCCCAACUGAUUGAUGGUGCUUGCACCUGAUCGACGAUGGAUCACCAGUGAGUGGCGGACGGGUGAGUAACACGUAGGUAACCUGCCCUGUACAGGGGAUAACAAUCAGAAAUGACUGCUAAUACCGCAUAAGACCACAGCACCGCAUGGUGCAGGGGUAAAAACUCCGGUGGUACAGGAUGGACCCGCGUCUGAUUAGCUGGUUGGUGAGGUAACGGCUCACCAAGGCGACGAUCAGUAGCCGGCUUGAGAGAGUGAACGGCCACAUUGGGACUGAGACACGGCCCAAACUCCUACGGGAGGCAGCAGUGGGGAAUAUUGCACAAUGGGGAAACCCUGAUGCAGCAACGCCGCGUGAGUGAAGAGUAUUUCGGUAUGUAAAGCUCUAUCAGCAGGG